rnacentral:rRNA from 1 species
UACGAAGGGGGCUAGCGUUGCUCGGAAUUACUGGGCGUAAAGGGUGCGUAGGCGGGUCUUUAAGUCAGAGGGGAAAUCCUGGAGCUCAACUCCAGAACUGCCUUUGAUACUGAGGAUCUUGAGUUCGGGAGAGGUGAGUGGAACUGCGAGUGUAGAGGUGAAAUUCGUAGAUAUUCGCAAGAACACCAGUGGCGAAGGCGGCUCACUGGCCCGAUACUGACGCUGAGGCACGAAAGCGUGGGGGGCAAACAGG